rnacentral:rRNA from 1 species
UACACAAACAUCCUACAUAUAUUAUAAACAAAUCAUUUGACCCACCUAGUAGAGGCGAUCGAACAGUCAUACUCCUUAUAGUACCGCAAGGGAACCGCUCUAAGCAAUAAACAGCAAAGAUUAACUCUUGUACCUUUUGCAUCAUGGUUUAGCAAGAAACCCAGGGCAAGAAGAACCACAGUCCACAUCCCGAAACCAGAUGAGCUACCUUUAAGCAGCCUAAAGGGCACACCCUUCUCUGUGGCAAAAGAGUGGGAAGACUUUAAAGUAGAGGCGAAACACCUAUCGAAUCUGGAGAUAGCUGGCUACCUAAAAAGGAAUCUAAGUUCCACUUUAGACCUAUAACAACCCCUAUAUUAGUCUAAAGAUAUUCAUUAGGGGUUCAGCCCUAAUGAACCAGGAUACAACCUGUAUUUGAGAGACACAUCUUUAAUUUUUUCCCCGUAGACCUUAAAGCAGCCACCCCACAAAAUAUCGUUAAAGAAUUACCAAGACUAAUUCAAACCUCAAAUUAAACCUCCAAACAAACUAAAGGUAAAUCUACAUCCGUAGAAAUAAUUCUGCUAGAACUAAUAAUAAGACAACCCCUCUAUACGUACCUUUCCGCUAGAAACAGAAAAUCUACUAGUUAUUAACAGACUCUCAAAUGACAAACUCACUCAAUAUACAUUAAACACCCCACUGUGACCCCAACACAGGCACGUACAAAAGAAAGAUAAAAUACUAUAAAAGGAACUCGGCAACCAAAGACCCCAACUGUUUAACAAAAACAUAACCUUUAGCUACAUAAACCAGUAUUAAAGGCAACGCCUGCCCAGUGAACAAUUAAACGGCCGCGGUACCCUAACCGUGCAAAGGUAGCGUAAUCACUUGUCUAUUAAUUGUAGACCCGUAUGAAAGGCAUAAUGAGGGCCUAACUGUCUCUUAUAGUAAAUCAAUUAAACUGAUCUCCCAGUCCAAAAGCUGGAAUGUAAACAUAAGACCAGAAGACCCUGUGAAGCUUAAACUAAACUAUUAAAACCAAUAAUAGCUACUUUCGGUUGGGGCGACCUUGGAAACAAAAGAAACUUCCAAAAAAAUAACUUAUACUGUUCUAUACGGCCAACAAGCCUACUACGACCCAGCACAGCUGAUAAUUGAACCAAGUUACUCCAGGGAUAACAGCGCUAUCUUCUUCAAGAGCCCAUAUCAAAAAGAAGGUUUACGACCUCGAUGUUGGAUCAGGACAUCCUAAUGGUGCAGCCGCUAUUAAGGGUUCGUUUGUUCAACGAUUAAUAGUCCUACGUGAUCU